AACGAACGCUGGCGGCAUGCUUAACACAUGCAAGUCGAACGCUUGUAGCAAUACGAGAGUGGCAGACGGGUGAGUAACGCGUGGGAACGUACCCCAAGGUUCGGAAUAACGAUUGGAAACGAUCGCUAAUACCGGAUAAGCACGAAAGUGGAAAGGUCUACCGCCUUGGGAGCGGCCCGCGUUAGAUUAGGUAGUUGGUGGGGUAAAGGCCUACCAAGCCUACGAUCUAUAGCUGGUCUGAGAGGAUGAUCAGCCACACUGGGACUGAGACACGGCCCCGACUCCUACGGGAGGCAGCAGUGGGGAAUAUUGGACAAUGGAGCAACCCUGAUCAAGCAAUGCCGCGUGAGUGAUGAAGGCCUUCGGGUUGUAAAGCUCUUUUACCUACGACGAUAAUGACGGUAGUAGGAGAAUAAGCCCCGGCUAACUUCGUGCCAGCAGCCGCGGUAA
rnacentral:rRNA from 1 species